rnacentral:rRNA from 1 species
AGAGUUUGAUCCUGGCUCAGGAUGAACGCUGGCGGCGUGCCUAAUACAUGCAAGUCGAGCGAACGGACGAGAAGCUUGCUUCUCUGAUGUUAGCGGCGGACGGGUGAGUAACACGUGGAUAACCUACCUAUAAGACUGGGAUAACUUCGGGAAACCGGAGCUAAUACCGGAUAAUAUUUUGAACCGCAUGGUUCAAAAGUGAAAGACGGUCUUGCUGUCACUUAUAGAUGGAUCCGCGCUGCAUUAGCUAGUUGGUAAGGUAACGGCUUACCAAGGCAACGAUGCAUAGCCGACCUGAGAGGGUGAUCGGCCACACUGGAACUGAGACACGGUCCAGACUCCUACGGGAGGCAGCAGUAGGGAAUCUUCCGCAAUGGGCGAAAGCCUGACGGAGCAACGCCGCGUGAGUGAUGAAGGUCUUCGGAUCGUAAAACUCUGUUAUUAGGGAAGAACAUAUGUGUAAGUAACUGUGCACAUCUUGACGGUACCUAAUCAGAAAGCCACGGCUAACUACGUGCCAGCAGCCGCGGUAAUACGUAGGUGGCAAGCGUUAUCCGGAAUUAUUGGGCGUAAAGCGCGCGUAGGCGGUUUUUUAAGUCUGAUGUGAAAGCCCACGGCUCAACCGUGGAGGGUCAUUGGAAACUGGAAAACUUGAGUGCAGAAGAGGAAAGUGGAAUUCCAUGUGUAGCGGUGAAAUGCGCAGAGAUAUGGAGGAACACCAGUGGCGAAGGCGACUUUCUGGUCUGUAACUGACGCUGAUGUGCGAAAGCGUGGGGAUCAAACAGGAUUAGAUACCCUGGUAGUCCACGCCGUAAACGAUGAGUGCUAAGUGUUAGGGGGUUUCCGCCCCUUAGUGCUGCAGCUAACGCAUUAAGCACUCCGCCUGGGGAGUACGACCGCAAGGUUGAAACUCAAAGGAAUUGACGGGGACCCGCACAAGCGGUGGAGCAUGUGGUUUAAUUCGAAGCAACGCGAAGAACCUUACCAAAUCUUGACAUCCUUUGACAACUCUAGAGAUAGAGCCUUCCCCUUCGGGGGACAAAGUGACAGGUGGUGCAUGGUUGUCGUCAGCUCGUGUCGUGAGAUGUUGGGUUAAGUCCCGCAACGAGCGCAACCCUUAAGCUUAGUUGCCAUCAUUAAGUUGGGCACUCUAAGUUGACUGCCGGUGACAAACCGGAGGAAGGUGGGGAUGACGUCAAAUCAUCAUGCCCCUUAUGAUUUGGGCUACACACGUGCUACAAUGGACAAUACAAAGGGNAGCGAAACCGCGAGGUCAAGCAAAUCCCAUAAAGUUGUUCUCAGUUCGGAUUGUAGUCUGCAACUCGACUACAUGAAGCUGGAAUCGCUAGUAAUCGUAGAUCAGCAUGCUACGGUGAAUACGUUCCCGGGUCUUGUACACACCGCCCGUCACACCACGAGAGUUUGUAACACCCGAAGCCGGUGGAGUAACCUUUUAGGAGCUAGCCGUCGAAGGUGGGACAAAUGAUUGGGGUGAAGUCGUAACAAGGUAGCCGUAUCGGAAGGUGCGGCUGGAUCACCU